UACGUAGGGGGCAAGCGUUGUCCGGAUUUACUGGGCGUAAAGAGCGCGUAGGCGGAAGCUUAAGCGGUGCCUGAAAGCCCCCGGCUCAACCGGGGAGGGUGGUGCCGAACUGGGCUUCUUGAGGGCGAUAGAGGAGAGUGGAAUUCCGGGUGUAGCGGUGAAAUGCGUAGAGAUCCGGAGGAACACCUGUGGCGAAAGCGGCUCACUGGACCACAACUGACGCUGAGGCGCGAAAGCUAGGGGAGCAAACAGG
rnacentral:rRNA from 1 species